AGAGUUUGAUCAUGGCUCAGAUUGAACGCUGGCGGCAUGCUUUACACAUGCAAGUCGAACGGCAGCGCGGGGCAACCUGGCGGCGAGUGGCGAACGGGUGAGUAAUAUAUCGGAACGUACCCAAGAGUGGGGGAUAACGUAGCGAAAGUUACGCUAAUACCGCAUACGAUCUAAGGAUGAAAGCAGGGGACCGCAAGGCCUUGUGCUCCUGGAGCGGCCGAUAUCUGAUUAGCUAGUUGGUGAGGUAAAGGCUCACCAAGGCGACGAUCAGUAGCUGGUCUGAGAGGACGACCAGCCACACUGGAACUGAGACACGGUCCAGACUCCUACGGGAGGCAGCAGUGGGGAAUUUUGGACAAUGGGCGCAAGCCUGAUCCAGCAAUGCCGCGUGAGUGAAGAAGGCCUUCGGGUUGUAAAGCUCUUUUGUCAGGGAAGAAACGGUGGAGGCUAAUAUCCUCCGCUAAUGACGGUACCUGAAGAAUAAGCACCGGCUAACUACGUGCCAGCAGCCGCGGUAAUACGUAGGGUGCAAGCGUUAAUCGGAAUUACUGGGCGUAAAGCGUGCGCAGGCGGUUUUGUAAGUCUGUCGUGAAAGCCCCGGGCUCAACCUGGGAAUUGCGAUGGAGACUGCAAGGCUUGAAUCUGGCAGAGGGGGGUAGAAUUCCACGUGUAGCAGUGAAAUGCGUAGAGAUGUGGAGGAACACCGAUGGCGAAGGCAGCCCCCUGGGUCAAGAUUGACGCUCAUGCACGAAAGCGUGGGGAGCAAACAGGAUUAGAUACCCCAGUAGUCC
rnacentral:rRNA from 1 species